rnacentral:rRNA from 1 species
UACGUAGGGUGCGAGCGUUGUCCGGAAUUACUGGGCGUAAAGAGCUCGUAGGUGGUUUGUCGCGUUGUUCGUGAAAACUCACAGCUUAACUGUGGGCGUGCGGGCGAUACGGGCAGACUGGAGUACUGCAGGGGAGACUGGAAUUCCUGGUGUAGCGGUGAAAUGCGCAGAUAUCAGGAAGAACACCCGUGGCGAAGGCGGUUCUCUGGGACGGUACUGACGCUGAGACGCGAAAGCGUGGGGAGCGAACAGG